rnacentral:ncRNA from 1 species
AAGAGACUUAGUCCCAACCUUACUGUUAGUUAUCGCCAGGCACAUACAUGCAAGUAUCCGCACCCCAGUGUAGACGCCCUCGUCUUUUGUGUCACCCCAUGAGUCAAGGAGCUGGUAUCAGGCGCACCCAACAGCGUUGCCCAAGACACCUCGCAAUAGCCACACCCCCACGGGUAUUCAGCAGUAGUUAACAUUAAGCAAUGAGCGUAAGCUUGACUUAGCCAUGGUAGCCCUUAAGGGCUGGUAAAUCUUGUGCCAGCCACCGCGGUCACACAAGAAGCCCAAACUAACAACACACGGCGUAAAGAGUGGCACCCCGGUAUCCCAUAGACUAGGGCUGAAAUGCAGCCGAGCUGUCAUAGGCCCAAGAGGCACUCCAAACCGCCAUAAAGAUGGCCCUAGCCAAUGCCCGAUGGACAAACCCCACGAAAGCCAGGGCCCAAACUGGGAUUAGAUACCCCACUAUGCCUAGCCCUAAAUCAUGAUGCUUGCUUUAACGAAGGCAUCCGCCUGAGUACUACGAGCACAAACGCUUAAAACUCUAAGGACUUGGCGGUGCCCCAAACCCACCUAGAGGAGCCUGUCCUGUAAUCGAUACUCCACGAUCCACCCGACCACCCCUUGCACACAGCCUACAUACCGCCGUCGCCAGCCCACCUCUUGAGAGCACAACAGUGGGCACAAGAGCAGAUCCGCUAGCAAGACAGGUCAAGGUAUAGCCUAUGGGGUGGAAGAGAUGGGCUACAUUUUCUAGACUAGAAAACCCAACGGACGGGGACAUGAAAUUGCCCCCUAAAGGCGGAUUUAGUAGUAAAGGCGGCCCCAUAAUACCGCUUUAAAAAAGGCCCUGGGGCACGUACAUACCGCCCGUCACCCUCAUCACAAGCCACUGCCACCCAUAACUAAUAUGUGUAUGGGCUAGAGAUGAGGUAAGUCGUAACAAGGUAAGUGUACCGGAAGGUGCACUUAGCAUAC